rnacentral:rRNA from 1 species
UACGUAGGGGGCAAGCGUUGUCCGGAUUUAUUGGGCGUAAAGAGCGUGUAGGCGGUUAUGCAGGUCCGCUGUGAAAACUGGAGGCUUAACCUCCAGACGUCGGUGGAAACCGUAUGACUAGAGUCCGGAAGAGGAGAGUGGAAUUCCUGGUGUAUCGGUGAAAUGCGCAGAUAUCAGGAAGAACACCCGUGGCGAAGGCGGCUCUCUGGGACGGUACUGACGCUGAGACGCGAAAGCGUGGGGAGCGAACAGG